rnacentral:rRNA from 1 species
AACGAACGCUGGCGGCAGGCUUAACACAUGCAAGUCGAGCGCCCCGCAAGGGGCGCGGCAGGCGGGUGAGUAACGCGUGGGAACGUACCUUUUGGUUCGGAACAACUCCGGGAAACUGGAGCUAAUACCGGAUAAGCCCUAACGGGGAAAGAUUUAUCGCCGAAAGAUCGGCCCGCGUCUGAUUAGCUAGUUGGUGAGGUAACGGCUCACCAAGGCGACGAUCAGUAGCUGGUCUGAGAGGAUGAGCCGCCACACUGCGACUGAGACACGGCCCAGACUCCUACGAGAGGCAGCAGUGGGGAAUAUUGGACGAUGGGCGCAAGACUGAUCCAGCCAUGCCGUGUGAGUGAUGAAGGCCUUAGGGUUGUAAAGCUCUUUUGUCCGGGAAGAUAAUGACUGUACCGGAAGAAUAAGCCCCGGCUAACUUCGUG